AACUUUCAACAAUGGAUCUCUUGGCUCUCGCAUCGAUGAAGAACGCAGCGAAAUGCGAUACGUAAUGUGAAUUGCAGAAUUCAGUGAAUCAUCGAAUCUUUGAACGCACCUUGCGCCCCUUGGUAUUCCGAGGGGCACACCCGUUUGAGUGUCGUGAAAAUCUCAACCUUCUCGGUUUCUUCUGGACACCGAAGGAGGCUUGGACUUUGGAGGCCUUUGCUGGCGUCUCUCGCCAGCUCCUCUCAAAUGAAUUAGUAGGGUCCUCUUUGCCGAUCCUCGACGUGUGAUAAGAUGUUUCCAUGUCUUGGUUUAUGGCUCUGUUGCUUUUGGGACCCGCUUCUAACCGUCUCAACGAGACAACGUUCGAGCGUGUCGAACACUCUUGAACCCACGAACCCUUGACCUCAAAUCGGGUGAGACUACCCGCUGAACUUAAGCAUAUCAAUAAGCGGAGGCU
rnacentral:misc_RNA from 1 species